CUCCCUACAUAAAUAUUUCACUUACACACACAUUUUUGGACCCCGUCAGAUUUUUUAAGGGCCCUUAACCCUAAUUUCUGUUCCCUCUCUUUCUCUCCACUAUGAGAGACGGCCGCCAGCCUCACUUAGCCUCUCAGCAUUUCUCUGCCGCUAACCCCUGUUCCAUUUCUACCGCCCGUCGUCAUCAGUCACUGCCGCCGGAGGUGAUGGCCGGCUAGGCGGCGACAGCUUUGCCUUCUCUCUCCCUCGCCCUCCGUUGUUGCACCAUCAGCGAGACCCAAAUUGCGGAACCCCCAACGACCCAUCUCUGCUACUGCUACCUCUUUCAUUUGUGCCACUACUCCGGUGUUUUUCGCCGUGGAAGCAGCGGCAUUUGCUCGUUUAACGCUACUCCAUCGGAUCUCCACCAGAUCAGGCUGGAGAGGAAAGAACUCCGGCGGCUGUUUGGAAAUAUUGUUGAGGCUCGUUUGUUAUGAGCUUCUCCAUUGCUAUGUCAUAGCAGCUCCUGUGCUUGUUGCGUUUUUAAUGGCUCGUGACCUUCUUGGUCUUGUUUUCCUCGCCGGAAAACUCCAUCGUCGGAUUUCUCUUUAUCUCUACCAUUAUUUCUGUUCCCCUAUUCUCUGCUUCUCUUUUUUUAAUAUUUAGACAUAGUAUAAAGGAACUUAGAUUUACCAUUUCUGCUGGAAAUUCCAAACUUCGGCGACUUUUGUUUCAUGGGUCUGGCCGGAUUUUGCUCUUCCGGCGACGCCUCUUGUGCUUUAUUUUGAUGCCUUGACUGCUUGACACAUAUUUUAAUCACUGAUUUUUGUGGCUUUGAUUGAUCGCUGGUUAUUUGGUUAAUCAAGGAUGGUUUCAUUCUUACCCUUUACUGCCAUUCACGUGAUAUUUUGAUUUUACUGGACUCUUCGUGUAGUUUUGGUUGGGAACAUCGGCUACAAGGAUGCUAUCACCACCGUUCUCUUAGCGUUGGACUUACAGCUGUGUUGGUUUGCUAACAUAUACUCUGUCCGUUUUAAUUUACGUGUAACCCA
rnacentral:lncRNA from 1 species